UCGAGAAUCUUCCGCAAUGGGCGAAAGCCUGACGGAGCGACGCCGCGUGUGGGAUGAAGGUCUUCGGAUUGUAAACCACUGUCACGGGUCAUGAAAUCGGUGAGGCGAACAGCCGAAUCGUUGACGUAAGCCCGAGAGGAAGCACCGGCUAACUCUGUGCCAGCAGCCGCGGUAAUACAGAGGGUGCAAACGUUGUUCGGAAUCACUGGGCAUAAAGCGCACGUAGGCGGCGAUGUAAGUGUGGAGUGAAAGCCCACGGCUCACCCGUGGAAUUGCUUUGCAGACUGCAUUGCUCGAGGAUGGUAGGGGAGAGCGGAACUCCUGGUGGAGCGGUGAAAUGCGUAGAUAUCAGGAGGAACACCGGUGGCGAAGGCGGCUCUCUGGUCCAUUUCUGACGCUGAGGUGCGAAAGCUAGGGUAGCGAACGGGAUUAGAUACCCCCGUAGUCC
rnacentral:rRNA from 1 species